rnacentral:piRNA from 1 species
UGUUCUUGACUAGGAAAAUACAUGGUAUC